AUUGAACGCUGGCGGCAGGCCUAACACAUGCAAGUCGAGCGGAUGAAGGGAGCUUUCUCCUGGAUUCAGCGGCGGACGGGUGAGUAAUGCCUAGGAAUCUGCCUUGUAGUGGGGGAUAACGUCCGUAAACGGGCGCUAAUACCGCAUACGUCCUGAGGGAGAAAGUGGGGGAUCUUCGGACCUCACGCUAUCAGAUGAGCCUAGGUCGGAUUAGCUAGUUGGUGGGGUAAAGGCCUACCAAGGCGACGAUCCGUAACUGGUCUGAGAGGAUGAUCAGUCACACUGGAACUGAGACACGGUCCAGACUCCUACGGGAGGCAGCAGUGGGGAAUAUUGGACAAUGGGCGAAAGCCUGAUCCAGCCAUGCCGCGUGUGUGAAGAAGGUCUUCGGAUUGUAAAGCUCUGUAAGUUGGGAGGAAGGGCAGUAAGUUAAUACCUUGCUGUUUUGACGUUACCAACAGAAUAAGCACCGGCUAACUUCGUG
rnacentral:rRNA from 1 species